rnacentral:ncRNA from 1 species
AAGAGCCGGAUGACGGGAGACUGUCACGUCCGGUUCCGUGGGGCGCAGGGGGGAAGUUCCCUUGCGCGACCCGAU